rnacentral:rRNA from 1 species
GACGAACGCUGGCGGCGUGCUUAACACAUGCAAGUCGAACGGAAAGGCCCUGCUUUUGUGGGGUGCUCGAGUGGCGAACGGGUGAGUAACACGCGAGUAACCUGCCCUUGUCUUUGGGAUAACUUCUGGAAACUGGGGCUCAUACCGGAUAGGAGCUCCUGCUGCACGGUGGGGGUUGGAAAGUUUCGGCGGUUGGGGAUGGACUCGCGGGUUAUCAGCUUCUUGGUGGGGUAGUGGCUUACCAAGGUUUUGACGGGUAGCCGGCCUGAGAGGGUGACCGGCCACAUUGGGACUGAGGUACGGCCCAGAAUCCUACGGGAGGCAGCAGUGGGGAAUAUUGCACAAUGGGCGGAAGCCUGAUGCAGCAACGCCGCGUUCGGGAUGACGGCCUUCGGGUUGUAAACCGCUUUCGCCUGUGACGAAGCGUGAGUGACGGUAAUGGGUAAAGAAGCACCGGCUAACUACGUG